rnacentral:rRNA from 1 species
UAAGUGAAGAGUUUGAUCCUGGCUCAGAGUGAACGCUGGCGGUAGGCCUAACACAUGCAAGUCGAACGGCAGCACAGGAGAGCUUGCUCUCUGGGUGGCGAGUGGCGGACGGGUGAGGAAUACAUCGGAAUCUACUCUGUCGUGGGGGAUAACGUAGGGAAACUUACGCUAAUACCGCAUACGACCUACGGGUGAAAGCAGGGGAUCUUCGGACCUUGCGCGAUUGAAUGAGCCGAUGUCGGAUUAGCUAGUUGGCGGGGUAAAGGCCCACCAAGGCGACGAUCCGUAGCUGGUCUGAGAGGAUGAUCAGCCACACUGGAACUGAGACACGGUCCAGACUCCUACGGGAGGCAGCAGUGGGGAAUAUUGGACAAUGGGCGCAAGCCUGAUCCAGCCAUACCGCGUGGGUGAAGAAGGCCUUCGGGUUGUAAAGCCCUUUUGUUGGGAAAGAAAUCCAGC